rnacentral:lncRNA from 1 species
AAAAGGGUAAUAUGAUCAAGACAUAUUUAUAGUUCUUAAUUAUUCUGUCUCUAUCAUUUUCUCUAUCAAAAUUUUGUCGAAACAUCAUAAUUUCAUGACAUUGCAAAACAGUGAAGUAUAAAACGUGACAUGCUACAUGAAUUGAAAUUAAAACAUUUACAGUCACUAUUUCUUGAAGGAAAAUUGGGAAUCCAGCAUACCUUCUAUAGAGAAAUAGUAUAAGAUAACUAUACUUACAC